rnacentral:rRNA from 1 species
AACGUAGGACGCAAGCGUUAUCCGGAGUUACUGGGCGUAAAGGGCUCGUAGGUGGCCAACUAAGUCAGACGUGAAAUCCCUCAGCUUAACUGGGGAACUGCGUCUGAUACUGGAUGGCUUGAGUUUGGGAGAGGGAUGCGGAAUUCCAGGUGUAGCGGUGAAAUGCGUAGAUAUCUGGAGGAACACCGGUGGCGAAGGCGGCAUCCUGGACCAACACUGACACUGAGGAGCGAAAGCCAGGGGAGCAAACGGG